rnacentral:rRNA from 1 species
AUUGAACGCUGGCGGCAGGCCUAACACAUGCAAGUCGAACGGUAACAGAAAGCAGCUUGCUGCUUUGCUGACGAGUGGCGGACGGGUGAGUAAUGUCUGGGAAACUGCCUGAUGGAGGGGGAUAACUACUGGAAACGGUAGCUAAUACCGCAUAACGUCGCAAGACCAAAGGGGGGGACCUUCGGGCCUCUUGCCAUCGGAUGUGCCCAGAUGGGAUUAGCUAGUAGGUGGGGUAAAGGCUCACCUAGGCGACGAUCCCUAGCUGGUCUGAGAGGAUGACCAGCCACACUGGAACUGAGACACGGUCCAGACUCCUACGGGAGGCAGCAGUGGGGAAUAUUGCACAAUGGGCGCAAGCCUGAUGCAGCCAUGCCGCGUGUAUGAAGAAGGCCUUCGGGUUGUAAAGUACUUUCAGCGGGGAGGAAGGGAGUAAAGUUAAUACCUUUGCUCAUUGACGUUACCCGCAGAAGAAGCACCGGCUAACUCCGUG